GAUUUUUUUAUUUACAUCAUUUCUGUUGUUGCAACACAGGACACAGCACUGCACCAUUUUACAAUGUUUUGAAUAUUCCACGAUUGGACACAGAAGUAAUGUUUUAGACUAUGAUGACGUAGCAACUAGCCAUCCCCGUAGCAUGGAAAAGUGAC